CGUCCUGAAGUCGAUCAUGAAGGCGAUGAUCCCUUUGCUGCAGAUCGGCCUCCUCCUAUUUUUUGCAAUCCUUAUUUUUGCAAUCAUAGGGUUAGAAUUUUAUAUGGGAAAAUUUCAUACCACCUGCUUUGAAGAGGGGACAGAUGACAUUCAGGGUGAGUCUCCGGCUCCAUGUGGGACAGAAGAGCCCGCCCGCACCUGCCCCAAUGGGACCAAAUGUCAGCCCUACUGGGAAGGGCCCAACAACGGGAUCACUCAGUUCGACAACAUCCUGUUUGCAGUGCUGACUGUUUUCCAGUGCAUAACCAUGGAAGGGUGGACUGAUCUCCUCUACAAUAGCAACGAUGCCUCAGGGAACACUUGGAACUGGUUGUACUUCAUCCCCCUCAUCAUCAUCGGCUCCUUUUUUAUGCUGAACCUUGUGCUGGGUGUGCUGUCAGGGGAGUUUGCCAAAGAAAGGGAACGGGUGGAGAACCGGCGGGCUUUUCUGAAGCUGAGGCGGCAACAACAGAUUGAACGUGAGCUCAAUGGGUACAUGGAGUGGAUCUCAAAAGCAGAAGAGGUGAUCCUCGCCGAGGAUGACACUGACGGGGAGCAGAGGCAUCCCUUUGAUGGAGCUCUGCGGAGAACCACCAUAAAGAAAAGCAAGACAGAUUUGCUCAACCCCGAAGAGGCUGAGGAUCAGCUGGCUGAUAUAGCCUCUGUGGGUUCUCCCUUCGCCCGAGCCAGCAUUAAAAGUGCCAAGCUGGAGAACUCGACCUUUUUUCACAAAAAGGAGAGGAGGAUGCGUUUCUACAUCCGCCGCAUGGUCAAAACUCAGGCCUUCUACUGGACUGUACUCAGUUUGGUAGCUCUCAACACGCUGUGUGUUGCUAUUGUUCACUACAACCAGCCCGAGUGGCUCUCCGACUUCCUUUACUAUGCAGAAUUCAUUUUCUUAGGACUCUUUAUGUCCGAAAUGUUUAUAAAAAUGUACGGGCUUGGGACGCGGCCUUACUUCCACUCUUCCUUCAACUGCUUUGACUGUGGGGUUAUCAUUGGGAGCAUCUUCGAGGUCAUCUGGGCUGUCAUAAAACCUGGCACAUCCUUUGGAAUCAGCGUGUUACGAGCCCUCAGGUUAUUGCGUAUUUUCAAAGUCACAAAGUACUGGGCAUCUCUCAGAAACCUGGUCGUCUCUCUCCUCAACUCCAUGAAGUCCAUCAUCAGCCUGUUGUUUCUCCUUUUCCUGUUCAUUGUCGUCUUCGCCCUUUUGGGAAUGCAACUCUUCGGCGGCCAGUUUAAUUUCGAUGAAGGGACUCCUCCCACCAACUUCGAUACUUUUCCAGCAGCAAUAAUGACGGUGUUUCAGGUACAGCCUCCACCUGGCCCCACGGGCCAACACCUCUCAGUGUCACAGAUGAAAGUGCCUGCUCCACAUCCAAGGGGCUUCCCUGAACUCCUCCUUCUCUACCUGGCCUUUUCACACCACUUUGAAAUACAGAUUUUAUGGUUAUCAUUAUUCAAUUAUGGUGAGGCCAACAGAUCAGGAGAUGAAUGUCAUUGGAAAGAUAGUUUGUGGCUGGGCACGGUGGCUCACACCUAUAAUCCCAGCACUUUGGCCAGGUGUGGUGGCUCACACCUGUAAUCCCAACAUUUUGGGAAGCCCAGGUGGGCGGAUCACUUGAGAUCAGGAAUUCGAGACCAGCCUGGCCAACAUGGUGAAACCCCAUCUCUACUAAAAAUACAAAAAUUAGCCGGGCGUGGUAGCACAUGCCUGUAAUCCUAGCUACUCGGGAGAUGAGGC
rnacentral:sRNA from 1 species